ACACCUCAACUCUCAUGGCUUACCAUGAUGAGCUUGGACUUUGGGGGCCUUUGCUGGCUUGUGUCAGCUCCUCUCAAAGGAAUCAGCUUGCCAGUGUCUGGUGGCAUCACGAGUGUGAUAACUGUCUACGCUUGUGGUUUUCCACCAGGUAACCUUCAGCGAUGGAGGUUCACUGGGGCUCAUAAAUGUCUUUCCCCAGAGAAGACAGCUCUUUGAACA
rnacentral:misc_RNA from 1 species